GUCUAUGGCCAUAACACCCUGAAUGAACCCAAUCUCAUCUUAUCUUAGAAGCUAAGCUGGGUUGGGCCUGGUUAGUAUGUGGAUGGGUAGAUCUGGGAGACUGCCUGGGAAUACCAGAUGCUGUAGGUU
rnacentral:rRNA from 1 species